CCCUGGGGAGGUUUGGACAAAUUUUGACUCACCCACAUCCAGCACUGACAGCACACCAGAGCAGACAUUGCACAAGUUCAGCUCGACUUUAGAUUAUAUUCCUGCUCAAUUAUGCAUAUCAGAAGAGGCCAGGCCGUGUGUGACAGAGGCAAGAUCUCUAAAGAAAGUUCCCAAGAGAGCACUGCAUGAAUCUGUGAAGGUGAAGUUCAGAGUAUAAUGAAGGUCCCAGAAUGAUGGGGAGCUAGGAACGCGGAACAUUUGCUCAGCAAAAUUUGAGUGAUGAGUGGAGUCAACCCAAGUGAGAGGAAGGCCAAGUAGACUGUGAAUGGCUCAUGUGUUGGAGAAUUGGACUACCAGAUGACGGGAUUAUUCAAAGAAGGUUGUAGAAACUUGCGGAAGCAGACCCUUAGUUGGAAGAAGUAGAUUUCUGGGGCAGCCUCCUCUGGCCUUAUUGCUAAAACUUUGAAAGAUUGCUGACUAGUCAUUCUCAGAGGAACAGCGGGAGUCAUGAGUAAGCAAAUUGCAUUGAAGAAGGCAGAGAUGGCUUUCCUCUGUUUGGCCUUCUCUAGGGUAAAAUUUGAAAACCCUCCAGGAAAGCUGAGUUGGGUCAGGCAAUCCCCUCCUGGCAUUCUUUAGAAUAAAGAAAGUAUCUUCAACAAAUGGUGCUGGCAUAACUGGAUGCUGGCAUGUAGAAGACUACAGAUAGAUCCAUGGCUAUCACCAAGCACAAAACUU